GGUUUCGUAGUGUAACGGUUAUCACACAAGACUCUGAAUCUUGUAAUCCGAGUUCGAUUCUCGGCGAGACCU
rnacentral:tRNA from 1 species